CAAGCACUCUGGCAGACACCACAAUCACCGAACCGGAGAAACAAAUAAAUUCUCCCAAGCAUAUGAAUGCUGUAGACAGUUGAAUAGGAACCAUAGGAAUUGGUUUACUCUCCUAGCAGUCAAACUGGAACAGCAUACAAUGAAUCCUUCCCCCAAUAAUGAGACGACACUUCACUUUGAGGGUUAAAACAGGAACUCCCUGUACUGUCACUUACAGUCUCUUUUAUUCCCAAUCCACAAACAUAGUACAGCCCACAGGGCGUUACAAAACAAC